rnacentral:rRNA from 1 species
UACGUAGGGGGCAAGCGUUGUCCGGAAUUAUUGGGCGUAAAGAGCGUGUAGGCGGUCCGGUAAGUCAGCUGUGAAAGUCAAGGGCUCAACCCUUGAAUGCCGGUUGAUACUGUCGGGCUAGAGUCCGGAAGAGGCGAGUGGAAUUCCCGGUGUAGCGGUGAAAUGCGCAGAUAUCGGGAGGAACACCGGUGGCGAAGGCGGCAUCCUGGACCGGCAUUGACGCUGAGGCGCGAAAGCUAGGGGAGCAAACGGG